rnacentral:rRNA from 1 species
UGGGCUACACACGUGCUACAAUGGCUGGUACAAAGGGUUGCCAACCCGCGAGGGGGAGCUAAUCCCAUAAAGCCAGUCGUAGUCCGGAUCGUAGUCUGCAACUCGACUACGUGAAGUCGGAAUCGCUAGUAAUCGUGGAUCAGAAUGUCACGGUGAAUACGUUCCCGGGUCUU